AUAUCAAAAAGGCACUGGCAUCGGGUUUGGUUCAGUCAUUUGCCUGUUUGAAAGACUCCCCAAGCAGUGGCAGCGAAAUAUGGUACACCCCAGGACGGAGCCAACGGCCAGCCACUGGAUUCCUGGAGGAAAGGCUGCAGAAUGUCAGGAAGCGGCUGAGAUCAACCAGCAAGUCGCGGAGCAUGGCACAGACGACACCAGCACAAAUGCCAAAUGAUGGCGCUCUUGCCAGGGCUCUCAUACCAGAAUGUACCAUAUCAGAUGAAUGUGCGUCACAGUUUAAAGAAUGGUUGAGAAACAAUUCUCAGCCCCUCAGCCAGAUAGAGACCUACAUGCAGAACACAGCAGUCUACAGGGCCAAGAGGAUUAGGGACAACAAUUGGACCAUCGAUCAGAUCCUCGAAGAGUUCCCUCGCUUAAUGACCAAAGGCAUGGUAGGUAUAGGGAAAUAUGAGGUAAAAUUGUUUAUAACGUUUAAUGCACUGAAUCUUUUCCAAAUUGUAAAGCUAACUAGACUUUAUCAUAAAACAAUUAUUUCUCUAGUGAGGACCAGGAAAAUGGUCCUCACAAUGUCUGUAUUUUAAUUCUACUAUAGUAGUCGGUAGACAUUUGGUCCUUACUCACUCGCUCUCUCGCUCUCUUGUAUUUUCUUUUUUAGCCUGGAAUAAACAUGGUGGAGUACCUCCA
ensembl:lncRNA